CUCCUCGAUUUAUAUUUUAAUAUGGUCUUUAUUUUGUUGCAGAUGAACAUCAAGUGAUAAAAUCUAUUAGGUUGAAGGUUCAGGAUGUCCAUAACUUGGAGAAUGGAUCGCGCAUAAUUGUUGAAUGUGAUGAGUUUGCUCAACCUAUUGGAAAAUCAGCCGGCAUUCUUGCAGGAUUUUUGGGGGAGCUUGCUACAGAUCCUCGCUACUUUCCAAUUGGCUUUGAGAGUUGGGCAUUAAUGCCUAAACCUUUUGUGCACCGUGUUGUUAAUGAUUUCGUAUUGCCUCGGUUUUUCUUUAGGAGUGAUCAGCAAAAGG